rnacentral:rRNA from 1 species
CCUACGGGGUGCAGCAGUGGGGAAUAUUGGGCAAUGGGCGCAAGCCUGACCCAGCAACGCCGCGUGAAGGAAGAAGGCUUUCGGGUUGUAAACUUCUUUUGUCAGGGAAGAGUAGAAGACGGUACCUGACGAAUAAGCCACGGCUAACUACGUGCCAGCAGCCGCGGUAAUACGUAGGUGGCAAGCGUUGUCCGGAUUUACUGGGUGUAAAGGGCGGGUAGCCGGGUUGACAAGUCAGAUGUGAAAUCCUGCGGCUUAACCGCAGAACUGCAAUUGAAACUGUUGAUCUUGAGUACUGGAGAGGCAGACGGAAUUCCUAGUGUAGCGGUGAAAUGCGUAGAUAUUAGGAGGAACCCCAGUGGCGGAGGCGGUCUGCUGGACAGCAACUGACGGUGAGGCGCGAAAGCGUGGGGAGCAAACAGGAUUAGAUACCCCAGUAGUC